rnacentral:lncRNA from 1 species
GCUUUUGCUGCUUAUAUAAUUCUAUUGGGCAAACGAGCUAUGAGGCACAGCAGGUCUGCAACGCAGCAUCACCUGAUAACUGCCAAACAAAUGUUUUUAUUGAAGAGAUCAUACACAACAUGACAACAAUGCACUCCAUGAAUGGUACGCGGGAUAAACAUCGGCGGCUGAUCUAACCAGUUUAUCACCCGGCGGAAGCGUAGCACUGCCCCUAAUCUAUCUAGUCUACAGUCUACAGAUAUGACUUGGGCUACAAGAAGGAAUAAGAGGGAGAGAGAAUUAUAUGCGUGACAUAGUUUGUCACGUUACAAUAUGUUUAACAUCCCAAUCACAAAUCUCGCAAAAAAAAACAUCCCAAUCACAAACCAUCUAUUAUGGGAACGGAGUUGAUAUGAGGAAACGGCUAUAUCCACACAAAGAAUAAGAUCAUCGGUCAUUGUUGUGGGUAACUUACCACCAAAAAAUUCUUACAAUCGUCGAAUCCUUCCAAUAAUGGGCUAAGGUCUAACUGACCAUCCAUAAAACACAUAGUUUGGGCAUUCUGGCUUGGGUGAUUGCGAGGUUUAACUUGUCUGCGACACUUGAACCUUUUUUUCGAGGAAGCAACACUUGAACCUUCCCCAAGGCCUUCUCGCCAUCACCAACACCGAGCUUCUUACGAACGGCUAAGAGCACCUCUCCGGCACCGCGGAUGUAAGGUGUUGUUCGCCUGUGGGCAGAGUUACUUCCUCCAUGUCGUCCAUAUAGUCCUGCAAACACAGUAAAGGGAGAUCAUGGAUUUCUCGUCGCAUCUAGUAGUACUAAAUACACGUCCUCUAAUGUUACGAGUAUCUAGUAAACAAUCUCUUCUGCCUAAAACCGACUCCAUUUUUUUUAAGAUUUUGAUAGCAAAUUAUCUGCAUUGGUGGUCAGGACCAUAUAUGUCAAACCUUUUGAAAAGAAGACUAUGUAUGUUUACUCUUCGGAGCGAGACAAGAAGACAUUUUUGAAUGAUGAUGUCUUGUGAUUAGGAAGUGAUCAGACUAUCAGGUCUAAAUGGGUCACUUCCAACUUUCCAAGAGUUUGGCGAUACACGCUAGACCAUGUAGCGUUUAAGCCUCGGGGUGAUGGAAACAAAGUUAAGACCUGCAAUAGUAUUGAGCUACAGAGGAAAUGAUGCAAAGUGGUUUGGUCCCCCAAACAGCUCAAAUCUGCAAGCAACACCUCCAAGUGUUAGCAUUGGCAUGGUACAGUGAAGUACUAGUUAGUGGCCUAGUAACGGCUGUGCAGCAGCAAGAGAAUCAGAUAGUUGGAGUAAGGAAAACACAGGCCAUGUAAAAUAUGCCUUGGUGGCUCAGUCCAAAUCUAUCUAUAUCCAUAACUGUCUAUUCUAGCUAUAUCAAUAUCUUCUAAUAGGAGUCUAUGCUAUACCUGUAUUGUAUAUAUAUAUCUAUAUCUAUAUCUAUACAAUGGUAAGUAAUCAAGCAUUUUGCAAUGUUACAAGUAUCCUCCGCCGUCUAGAAGAAGGCCCGACAAAUUGCAUCUACUGCUUUGGGGACCUUUUUGGGUAACAAAGAUUGACAUACAAUAUGUGGCGAAGGAGUCAAGAACAAUGGCAAGAAGGAGAAGGACAGCGAGAGGGUCCUAGCCCUCCAACCUUUAGGAACUUAUGACAUUUCGAAAUGAUGGGUUGAAAAGCACAGGCAGACAUGAGGGCAAAGAGGGGUGGGCCAAGGUAUAUGUCAGGGAAGGAGGAAACGGAUCAAUUAUGAUACAUAACCAUGCAAUGAUUAUGUGUCCAAGAUUAAAACAUUUGUGUUCUGUACUCAUAAUCGAUUAACUAUAAACGAAGUAUUUUACAUGAAAUCUGUGAUCGAAGUUAAACUUAGGAACACGUGGGCAACUUGCAUUAUCCAAGAGGGAGUACAUUAAGAGGUGAUUAAUAUCUGCAUUACUAUGCAGUAACAUAACACAGGAAUAGAUGACAGUUGGCUUUUGCUGCUUAUAUAAUUCUAUUGGGCAAACGAGCUGUGAGGCACAGCAGGCCUGCAACUCAGCAUCACCUGAUAACUGCCAAACAAAUGUUUUUAGUGAACAAAUCAUACACAACAAUGCACUCCAUGAAUGGUACACAGGAUAACAUCAGGUCGAAUUAUUCAAGAUAUACCUAACAUGAUUCAAGUAAACCUAAGUAAUGGAACAUUAAAUAUCUAAGGACGUGAAAAAACAGAAAUGAAUAUGUACAGCUGGGCCAUCACAUGGAGGUGACAAUCAGGAGCAUCCCAUAUUAGCCAAACCAAUUUAGACCAAGUUGGUUAGAAGUCGGUGGUAGUUUUACUGGUUUCUGCCAUGUUUGAGAAUUUUUUCACCUUUGUUCGGACGGCCACCAACUUCCUAGUAGCAGAGCAAACAAGGUGGACCUGACCUAUCAACACUUACUCUGCCCGUCAUGUGAUCAUGUUAGAACACAGGCUACUCGAAUGAACGCGUAACUAAGUGUUGCCUCCUUUCACUGAAGCUGAGAUCUUCUGCUGCUUUCAGGCCAAUGGAAGCUCGGCGCAUUGUUAUAUUGUGUCAAAUCGCAAGAUAUGGUCUCCACCUAGAAGGCAAACAAAAUUUAAGAAAAAUAAGCAUUAGUUCAUCAGAAUUUACUAAGACCAGUAUGAACUUACUAAGACCAGUAAGACCAGUAAAAACGGAGGGAGCAGUAGCAUAAAUGAUAAAAUCCCGAAGAAGAAUACGGUUCAGCCCAGCUUGGACGCCAUGUGCGAAUUUGCGACUAUUUUGGAAUGAGAACAAAGUUUCAAUGUUCUGAACAUCUCUUUAAAACGGAAUAUAUUUUAAAAUUCUGCACAUUUUAUAAAAAUUUGAGUUCGAUUUUUUAUGAUAUUAUAUGAACUUUAUUGAAAAUUUUGAAUUUACGAAAAAAGAGGAAGAAAGAAAAGUAAACUUGAUAGAAAAAAACAAAAGAAAUAUGAAUGAAAAAGUGAAAGAAACUGAAAAAGAAAAAUAGAAACAUAACAAAAAAAGGAUUCAGGCCUAGUUGGGCAUCAUGUGCGAAUCUGUGACAUAAAUAGGGUUUUCCCACCUGUGUGGGUACAAAAAUAACUAGGCUGGCUUUGCUGGGCCACACUGUAGGCGACCCAUGUACGAAAUUCUGUCUUUUUUUAUUUUCUAGUACAGGCAUGGACAAAUAUUUAAUACCACCUCAAACAGAAAAAAAUCUUUUCGAUGGUGAACGGAUAAAAAAAUCGAAAAAAACGCACCUUGAUUUAUUAAUAUUAAUUAAUAUUAAUAAUUAUAAUUAUAAUUAUAUAUAUUAUUAUUAUAUUAUUAUUAUUAUUAGUAAGAAAGUAAAAAAAUAUAGAAAUGAAGUUUUGCCUUUCGAUUGUAAGCAAUUUUUUUUAGUGGUAUGUAACAAGGUUGAGGCGGGUGGACGGGACGAGUGGUAUUUUCGGCCCGCUCCUGUAAACAAGGUAUACAUUGAACGAGUCGAGUUGUAUAUUUCGCCCCGAAUGCUUUUGGCUCGGUAAACUGAACAAGCUAAGUUGUAUAUUUCGGCCUGAAGUUUGACCGGUCCAGCUCGGUUGGCCCAAAAAAAUCAUGGUCGGCACGGCCAUGACUCGUCAGCCCCCAUGGCGAACCACCGUGCCCCCGAGCACCGCCGCAUCACCAUUGUCCUACAAGAGCGAGGAGUUGCUCCGGAAUGCCGCAGCGCCGAGACAUAGGGCUCAAAGAUGAUAAGAGGAGCGGUGGGAGAGGAACGCUGAUAAUGCAGACGCCUCGCUCCAUAAUCUGCAAAGACUAGAAGAAGACUAGAGACUUUUCUUCUCAUGGACAUGGACAGAGCCAGGCAACACCAUUGGGCACGAACAUUCGCCGGUCGCUGGCUGCCACCGUCCGACUGGAAGACCCGAGUCUUCGGUAGCAGCAGACUCCACCACACAAAUCGGGUCUUCGGCAGCAGACUAUAUAGGAGUAUAGCACCCGGAGAUAUCAAAGGCAAUCGAAACCAAAACCAAAACCAAAACCAUGGCCAUGUUCCCCUGUCUAAUCCUCAGUCUGCUCCUCACUUUUGCAUCGGCGCAGCUGACGACGUUGAGCGCCGGCUCGACUCUCGCCGUGGAGGACUACGAGCGCACGUUCCUCGCCUCACCAAACGGGACCUUCUCCUGCGGCUUCUACCCGGUCGGCUCGAACGCCUUCACCUUCUCCGUCUGGUUCGCCCGACAAGGCCGUGGUCUGGUCCGUGAACCGCCAUUCCCCGGUGAACGGGCACGGGUCCAAGGCGCUGCUGCACGGCGAUGGCUACCUCGUCCUGGCCGACGCCAACGGCUCGGCGGUGUGGGCGAGCAGCGGGGGCGCGGGCGACGACAGGUCGACGGCCGCGCUGCUGGAGACCGGAAACCUCGUCAUCAGAGACUCGGGCGGCGCGGUGCUGUGGCAGAGCUUCGCCUCGCCGACCGACACCUUGCUCCCUUGGCAGCAGCUGACCAAGGACACCAGGUUGGUCUCCGGCUACCACAGCCUCUACUUCGACAACGACAAUCGGCUUCGUCUCGUGUACAACGGGCCCGAGUUCUCCAGCAUCUACUGGCCAAACGAUGACUACACCAUGUUUCAAGACGACGAUGGCCCGAGUUUCAACAACAAUUCCAGGCUUGCAGUCCUCGAUGACAAGGGUUGGUUCUCCUCAACCGAUGGCCUCCCGGUACCAGAAGAAGACUGACGCUCGAGCACGACGGCAACCUCAGAAUGCACAGCCUGGACGCGUCGAGUGGAAGAUGGGUGGUCACAUGGCAAGCCAUACUGCAGAUGCACUAUGUGCAUGGCCUAUGUGGGAAGAAGGGGUUCUUCGAGUACUCGCCGAGACUCCGCUGCUCGUGUCCUCCUGGAUUCGAGAUGGUUAAUCCAAACGUGUGGAGCAAAGGCUGCAGGCCGACGUUCAGCUACAACUGUGGUCAAGACAGGUACAGCUUCAUCCAGAUCCCUCAAACCGAUUUCUACGACUUUGAUCUUGGCGUCAACGACUCCAUCUCGUUUGAAGAGUGUAGAAACAUCUGCUUGGGCAUGUGCUCUUGCAUCGCUUUCUCUUACCGGCUGACCGGAACCGGCGUUUGUUACCCUAAAGGCCUGCUGUUCAAUGGCUACAAGUCGCCUGCAUUCCCAGGAAGUGUCUAUCUUGAAGUGCCCCUCACUGCUGACAUUCAGAUUCAGGUCUCUGAAUCACCACAAUCAGCUCUCACAUGCUCCCAUGUUGGUCCCAAGACUAGGCAUGAACCUUCAGAUCACAUGGACAGAUGGCUAUAUUUCUAUUUAUGUCCUGGAUUGUUAGGAGCCCUGGAGCUCAUUCUCAUCUUGACGACAUGGUGGUUCCUUUCCAGGAAGAAUGGCAAUGUGCAAGAUUCAACACAGGGAGGUUAUGCGGUGUUAAGAAAUCAGUUCAGGAGAUUUACUUACCAAGAGCUACAGCAAGCAACUGGAAGGUUCAGAGAAGAAGUUGGAAGAGGUGGCUCUGGGAUUGUGUACAGAGGAUUGCUAAAAGAUAAGAGGGUCAUCGCGGUGAAGAAUCUCAUGGAUGUCACCAAACACGAAGAGGAAUUCUGGGCAGACACGAAUGUGAUCGGGAGGAUCAAUCACAUGAACCUGGUUCGCACAUGGGGAUUCUGCUCACAAGGCAAACACAGGCUGCUGGUAUAUGAAUUUGUGGAGAAUGAGUCACUGGACAGGCACCUGUUCAGCGCGGAAAGAUUGCUCACGUGGAGCGAGCGUUUCCAUAUCGCCUUGGGAUCGGCGAGGGCCCUGGCUUAUCUCCACCACGAGUGCCUUGAGUGGGUUCUACACUGUGACGUGAAGCCUGAGAACAUACUCUUGACCCGAGAUUUUGAAGCCAAGAUAGCAGACUUUGGGUUAGCAAAGCUGUAUAAAAGAGAUGGAUCCAGUUUCAACUUCUCACAUAUGCGAGGAACAGCCGGUUAUAUGGCCCCGGAAUGGGCGAUGAAUCUGCCAAUCAAUGCCAAGGUCGACGUCUAUAGCUUCGGAGUGGUGCUCCUAGAACUGGUGGCUGGGAGGAGGAUUUCCAGCUGCACAAAGGAUGACAAAGUUAUCAAACUGAAACAAUUUGUCCGGGGUGUGAAGGAAGCUUUAGUUACCGGGGAUGCUGCGAGUAUAGUGGAUGCGAAGCUUCAUAGGCAGUUCCACACCGAUCAGGCGAUAAUUAUGAUGACGGCUGCUGUAUCGUGCCUCGCAGAAGAAAGAAGCAAGAGACCAACCAUGAAUGAAGUUGUAAAAUCUCUCUUGCAUUGCGAGGGAUGAAGGCAUUCGAUCCGCGUAAUUAACACAGUUGCAAACAGUGGGGGACCAAAAGAUAGUGAGAAACUGAGAACAUCGACCUGAAUAUAUAAAUGUGUUUUUGCUUCUGUGUGACCUUUCUCACAUUGCUACCAGAUUUCCUGACUUAAAUGGCGAAACAGGAUAUCUUGUAUAUGAUUGAGUCAAGAGCUGUUUGUUUAUUGGCUCUGUCCACUCAUUUGAUACUUUGUUGUCAUUCAACUACUUUGAAUUUUGCUUGUUAUUCUCUGGACGUACAACGCUUGAUGGUAAAAUUUCCCUACUAAUGGGACUCGUUUAAACGGUAAACAUCGAUCAUAAUUCAGAAAAUAAACACAAGAUGGAGUGGCAUAUAUACUCUCUCCGUCCCAAAACACAAGAUGAACUGAGUUUGAAAUUUGAACUAAAGCGUCGACAUUAUCUUGGGAGGCAGGGGAUACCUACUAACAUGUACUACUCUCUGAUGGAUGGCCUGGACAUACAAUCAGUUCGUCCUGUUGUAUGAUGAACUUGCUGGUGAUGGUCACACAUGCUAAGGGGUCACCUAUGCAUCAGUUGCUUCGACAGAAAAAGAAACCCAGUUCCAUUCCACUGGGUCUGAUGUAUGGAGAGGGCCGGUGGCGAGCAAACCUGGCCAGCAUGGGCCAUUCCACCCAACGUGGUCAAACCUCCUUGGCACAUAGCUAAAACACGAGAGAUAAUUGCACACUAGAAGCAAUCAUACACAACAAUGCACUCCAUGAAUGGUACACAGGAUAACAUCAGGUCGAAUUAUUCAAGAUAUACCUAACAUGAUUCAAGUAAACCUAAGUAAUGGAACAUCAAAUAUCUAAGGACGCGAAAAAAACAGAAAUGAAUACGUACAGCUGGGCCAUCACAUGGAGGUGACAAUCAGGGGCAUCCCAUAUUAGCCAAACCAAUUUAGACCAAGUUGGUUAGAAGUCGGUGGUAGUUUUACUGGUUUCUGCCAUGUUUGAGAAUUUUUUCACCGUUGUUCGGGCGGCCACCAACUUCCUAGUGGCAGAGCAAACAAGGUCGGACCUGAACUAUCAACACUUACUCUGCCCGUCAUGUGAUCAUGUUAGAACGCAGGCUACUCGAAUGAACGCAUAACUAAGUGUUGCCUCCUUUCACUGAAGCUGAGAUCUGCUGCUGCUUUCAGGCCAAUGGAAGCUUGGCGCAUUGUUGUAUUGUGUCAAAUCGAAAGAUAUGGUCUCCACCUAGAAGGCAAACAAAUUUUAAGAAAAAUAAGCAUUAGUUUAUCUGAAUU